GCCAGACUGAAGUGGCAGAAGAUCAAAAACUUCAGAGGAUUAAGAGAAUGAUAUUGAUGGAGCAACCCUCGAAAUUCUCUCUGAGAGGAUGUCAGAGAGAUUAAUCCCAUCAAUAAAAAAUCAAGCACAAUUCAUCAAGUAUCUCGAGCAGUUGAAGUCAUCAUCAUCAUCGCCAUCAUCAUCAUUGUCAACAAGAAGAAGAAAUUGGAACAGCUGGACCUGCUUCACUGGGUCAGUUUGCUUUCCUCAAAGCAUUAAAAGAUACACUU